rnacentral:rRNA from 1 species
GUAGGUGGCAAGCGUUGUCCGGAAUUAUUGGGCGUAAAGCGCGCGCAGGCGGUUCUUUAAGUCUGAUGUGAAAGCCCACGGCUCAACCGUGGAGGGUCAUUGGAAACUGGAGAACUUGAGUACAGAAGAGGAAAGCGGAAUUCCACGUGUAGCGGUGAAAUGCGUAGAGAUGUGGAGGAACACCAGUGGCGGAGGCGGCUUUCUGGUCUGUAACUGACGCUGAGGCGCGAAAGCGUGGGGAGCAAACAGGGAUUAGAUACCCUGGUAGUCCACGCCGUAAACGAUGAGUGCUAAGUGUUAGGGGGUUUCCGCCCCCUUAGUGCUGCAGCUAACGCAUUAAGCACUCCGCCUGGGGAGUACGGCCGCAAGGCUG